CAGGUCUGGGGAAGGGAUACGGUAGGUGUCUCAGAGCAUGACAGAACCCCUAGAGGACAUCAUGGGGACCCAGGUCUGGGGAAGGGAUACGGUAGGUGUCUCAGAGCAUGACAGAACCCCUAGAGGACAUCAUGGGGACCCAGGUCUGGGGAAGGGAUACGGUAGGUGUCUCAGAGCAUGACAGAACCCCUAGAGGACAUCAUGGGGACCCAGGUCUGGGGAAGGGAUACGGUAGGUGUCUCAGAGCAUGACAGAACCCCUAGAGGACAUCAUGGGGACCCAGGUCUGGGGAAGGGAUACGGUAGGUGUCUCAGAGCAUGACAGAACCCCUAGAGGACAUCAUGGGGACCCAGGUCUGGGGAAGGGAUACGGUAGGUGUCUCAGAGCAUGACAGAACCCCUAGAGGACAUCAUGGGGACCCAGGUCUGGGGAAGGGAUACGGUAGGUGUCUCAGAGCAUGACAGAACCCCUAGAGGACAUCAUGGGGACCCAGGUCUGGGGAAGGGAUACGGUAGGUGUCUCAGAGCAUGACAGAACCCCUAGAGGACAUCAUGGGGACCCAGGUCUGGGAAAGGGAUACAGUAGGUGUCUCAGAGCAUGACAGAACCCCUAGAGGACA